AAAGCGAAUCAAUUCAACAUAACCCCUAUAUACAACCCAUCAGGGAUAUAUUUCCACUCAAUUAAUAACCUACGUGUACAUAAUUCAUUUUGGCGAUUCCUCACUUACGUUAAUAUAACUAAUUAUAAUGAAAAACAAUGAAAAAUCAAAUAAAAGAUAUAAAAACACAAUUGCUUAUUGGGGAGGGUAUACCAGUUAACUUAGAUGAUUCUGGAGUAUCAGAAUUGCUUCGUCUAACUACAACUAAUGUCGUUUUAAUAAAAGAUGUAUUAGUUUUUGAUA